rnacentral:rRNA from 1 species
UCUGGUUGAUUUUGCCAGUAGUUAUACGCUCGUCUCAAAGACUAAGUUAUGCACGUCUAAGUAUAAAUAUUUUAUUUUGAAAUUGUGAAUGGCUCAUUAUAUCAGUUAUAGUCUAUUUGAUAGUCCCUUACUACUUGGAUAACCGUAGUAAUUCUAGAGCUAAUAUAUGUGUUAAUAUUUAUUUGGGUGGUAUUUAUUAGAUGGAAACCAACCCCUUUGGGGUGAUGUGGUGAUUCAUAAUAAGUUUGCGGAUCGCACGGCUCGUCCGGCGACGGAUCAUUCAAGUUUCUGCCCUAUUAGUUUUGGACGGUAAGGUAUUGGUUUACCGUGGUUUUAAUGGGUAACAGGGAAUUAGGGUUUGAUUUUGGAGAGGGAGCCUGAGAGAUGGCUACCAUAUCCAAGGAAGGUAGUAGGCGCGUAAAUUACCUAAUUUUGAAAUAAGGAGGUAGUGAUAAUAAAUAACAAUGCCGGGCCUUUGUAGGUCUGGCAAUUGGAAUGAGAACAAUUUAAAUCCUUUAUUGAGGAUCAAUUGGAGGGCAAGUCUGGUGCCAGUAGUUGUGGUAAUUCCAGCUUCAAUAGCGUAUAUUAAAGUUGUUGCAGUUAAAAAGCUCGUAGUUGGACUUGUGCGUGCCCCUGAUGUCCUUUUUGGUACGUUUGGGGGCGUGCAUCCUUGGGUGGAACCUGUGUGGCAUUAGGUUGUCGUGCAGGGGAUGCUCAUCGUUUAUUGUGAAAAAAUUAGAGUGUUCAAAGUAGGUUUAUGCCGUUGAAUAUAUUAGUAUGGAAUAAUAAGAUAGGACCUUGGUACUAUUUUGUUGGUUUGCGCACCGAGGUAAUGAUUAACAGGGACAGUUGGGGGUAUUCGUAUUCCAUUGUUAGAGGUGAAAUUCUUGGAUUUUUGGAAGACGAAUUACUGUGAAAGUAUUUACCAAGGAUGUUUUCAUUAAUCAAGAACGAAAGUUAGGGGAUCGAAGAUGAUUAGAUAUCAUCGUAGUCUUAACCAUAAACUAUGCCAACAAGGGAUCGGCGGGGUUUUUGUUAUGUCUCCGUCGGCACCUUAUGAGAAAUCACAAGUUUUUGGGUUCCGGGGGGAGUAUGGUCGUAAGGCUGAAACUUAAAGAAAUUGACGGAAGGGCACCACCAGGAGUGGAGCCUGCGGCUUAAUUUGAUAAUAUGGGAAAAUUUAUUAGGUUUAGAUAUAGUGAGGAUUGAUAGAUUGAGAGUUUUUUUUGAUUUUAUGGGUGGUGGUGUAUGGCCGUUUUUAGUUGGUGGAGUGAUUUGUUUGGUUAAUUCCGUUAACGAAUGAGAUUCCUGCCUGUUAAAUAGUUUAGUGAGUGAUUUUUAUUGGCUAGAGUUUUUUAGAGGGAUGUGCUC